rnacentral:rRNA from 1 species
AUUGAACGCUGGCGGCAGGCUUAACACAUGCAAGUCGAGCGGGGGAGGUUGCUUCGGUAACUGACCUAGCGGCGGACGGGUGAGUAAUGCUUAGGAAUCUGCCUAUUAGUGGGGGACAACAUCUCGAAAGGGAUGCUAAUACCGCAUACGUCCUACGGGAGAAAGCAGGGGACCUUCGGGCCUUGCGCUAAUAGAUGAGCCUAAGUCGGAUUAGCUAGUUGGUGGGGUAAAGGCCUACCAAGGCGACGAUCUGUAGCGGGUCUGAGAGGAUGAGCCGCCACACUGGGACUGAGACACGGCCCAGACUCCUACGGGAGGCAGCAGUGGGGAAUAUUGGACAAUGGGGGGAACCCUGAUCCAGCCAUGCCGCGUGUGUGAAGAAGGCCUUUUGGUUGUAAAGCACUUUAAGCGAGGAGGAGGCUACUGGUAUUAAUACUACCGGAUAGUGGACGUUACUCGCAGAAUAAGCACCGGCUAACUCUGUGCCAGCAGCCGCGGUAAGAC